GUUGCGGUGGCCGAGUGGUUAAGGCGUUCGACUAAAAUCCAAUAGGAUCUUCCCGCGCAGGUUCGAAUCCUGCCCGCAACG
rnacentral:tRNA from 2 species